rnacentral:rRNA from 1 species
UGGGGAAUUUUGGACAAUGGGCGAAAGCCUGAUCCAGCAAUGCCGCGUGUGUGAAGAAGGCCUUCGGGUUGUAAAGCACUUUUGUCCGGAAAGAAAUCCUUGGCUCUAAUACAGUCGGGGGAUGACGGUACCGGAAGAAUAAGCACCGGCUAACUACGUGCCAGCAGCCGCGGUAAUACGUAGGGUGCAAGCGUUAAUCGGAAUUACUGGGCGUAAAGCGUGCGCAGGCGGUUUGCUAAGACCGAUGUGAAAUCCCCGGGCUCAACCUGGGAACUGCAUUGGUGACUGGCAGGGCUAGAGUAUGGCAGAGGGGGGAUAGAAUUUCCCACGUGUAGCAGUGAAAUGCGUAGAGAUGUGGAGGAAUACCGAUGGCGAAGGCAGCCCCCUGGG